CCUACGGGUGGCAGCAGUGGGGAAUAUUGGACAAUGGGGGCAACCCUGAUCCAGCCAUGCCGCGUGUGUGAAGAAGGCCCUCGGGUUGUAAAGCACUUUCAGUGAGGAAGAACGCCUGGUGGUUAAUACCCAUCAGGAAAGACAUCACUCACAGAAGAAGCACCGGCUAACUCCGUGCCAGCAGCCGCGGUAAUACGGAGGGUGCGAGCGUUAAUCGGAAUUACUGGGCGUAAAGCGCGCGUAGGUGGCUUGAUAAGCCGGUUGUGAAAGCCCCGGGCUCAACCUGGGAACGGCAUCCGGAACUGUCAAGCUAGAGUGCAGGAGAGGAAGGUAGAAUUCCCGGUGUAGCGGUGAAAUGCGUAGAGAUCGGGAGGAAUACCAGUGGCGAAGGCGGCCUUCUGGACUGACACUGACACUGAGGUGCGAAAGCGUGGGUAGCAAACAGGAUUAGAUACCCCAGUAGUC
rnacentral:rRNA from 1 species